rnacentral:rRNA from 1 species
UCCGAAGGGGGCUAGCGUUGUUCGGAAUCACUGGGCGUAAAGCGCACGUAGGCGGCGCGUUAAGUCAGGGGUGAAAUCCUGGAGCUCAACUCCAGAACUGCCUUUGAUACUGGCGUGCUCGAGUGUGGGAGAGGUUGGUGGAACUCCGAGUGUAGAGGUGAAAUUCGUAGAUAUUCGGAAGAACACCAGUGGCGAAGGCGGCCAACUGGCCCAUUACUGACGCUGAGGUGCGAAAGCGUGGGGAGAAAACAGG